rnacentral:misc_RNA from 1 species
CCAGCACGCUAUGCGUCCCGCUCGCCGGAUGGUAACGAUGGAUCUCCUGUUCCAGGAUAUCGGUCCAAUACAGCGCGCUUUCAUCCUCGCUCCAUGUGGGGCAUUCUGGUAGAUGUCCGACAUAAUCAAAUAAAACGUGCGGCGUAGUCAUAACGGUUCCUUAAACGAAAAAAGCCAGCAAAGCUGGCUUUUAGUAUAGAUGUCAUCAUUAUGGUCGGCUGUCAUUCGCCUGACGCAAUAACACACGGCUUUCAUUCUGGAAGCGUCUGGCAUAAUCGCCAAACCAGUGUUCAACUUUGCGAAAACUGUCGAUAAAAGCCUGCUUAUCACCCUGUUCCAGUAACCCGAUCGCAUCGCCAAAACGUUUAUAGUAACGCUUGAUAAGCGCCAGAUUGCGCUCCGACGACA